rnacentral:lncRNA from 1 species
UCAAGUCUUAUGAGAACCAUCAAAGGGAAUUAUCUGCAAGCCAAUAGAUGAAUUUACAAAUUGUAAUUAUCUGCAGGCCAAUGGAUGAAUUUACAAAGGGAAUUAUCUGCAAGCCAAUGCGAAAAACCACCAGUAAUAAAGAUAAACUGUCAGUAGUGUAGACAAGUUGCCAGUAAUGCAGAUAAACUACCAAUGAUGCAAACAAGCUGCCUGUAAUAUGGACAAGCCACCAGUGAUGCAGAUAAACUGCCAGUACUUCCUCCUUACACAUGUCUCACCCCAUGCAUGUGAUAUGGCCACAAUAAAUACAUUUUCGCUUUGUUACAGAAUAACACUUUAGGCAUGUAAAUCAUGCUCAUUGAAUCAUUUAAUACUUAGUAUCACAUAGGCAUAUUUUGACAUGCAACCCACAUAUUAUCAUGAUGUACCAAAACAUCAAAUUUUAUUAAUCAUGAAUAAUCAUAUAUGCCAUAAUAUCACAUAACAUGAGAAUGAGAACAACAUGCUUUUAAAUCAUCAAUAAACGUAACCACACAACAUAUUUUCACAAAAUAGUUGGUUCAGAACCGCUUGUAUUAUCCGUUUUGAAAAAUUUAUUCUCCAAUUAUAGAAUACUUACAAUAUUAGCAUAAGACAAUGAUCAAGUAAUAAUAUUUUAUUUAGGCAUUUUUAAUGAUAUAUAUAACUUGUAUUAAGUUAGAUCCAAACCUGAUCAAUGCAACUCCAAUGCCUCUAACGCCGACAUCCAGAUUUAAUUAGAUCUAUCUUGGAUCUAAACACAAAACAAAUAAUUCAUUAUUAAAUCGUCAAUUAAGUUAUCCUUUUAAAAAAAAUGAUUUAAUCUUGAUUUCCAAUACAACACUUAUGCUUAUACGACUAGAAUCGGAGAUGUGAUUCGCUUCCUAAAAGCCAAAGGUGUUCCAAGUUAUUAGCAAUCGAUCCUUCAACACAUAAAUAAUAUAGAAGAUGUUAAUAUCGAAGAAAAAUGAGAUCUAACACUACUUCUACUACAUUCAUCCAUUGAUAAAAAUGAUAAAUAAGUUAUUACCUACACCAAUAUCAUCCCGAAAUUACGUUAAUAUGAUUUGACUAGAAGGAUCGACAGUUCACCAGAGUCUUGAUUCGAAGGAGUAUAAACCAUGGAAAAAUCAACAUGAAAAUAGAAGAAUAAGUAUAAGAUUUUAGUAACGAUUUAAGAAAAUACAAGAAGAAGAAUAGAAAUUCGAUUAUGGCUAGAGAUUUGAAGAGAAAAUGGAUAACACAAAAAAAUGAUGACGAACGGUGGUGGUGGUGGUGUGGCGACACGACGACGAUGGCGGCUUUAUGGUGGCGCGGAGGUGGAAGAAGAGGGUAAGAAGUGUAGGAUGGGUGAUGAAGUGGUGGUGUUUAGUUCGAAUGGUGGUGGCUAAUGGUGGAGGAAAGGAGGCCAAAAUCAAAAUAAUGGUGGUUCAAGGUAGUGCAAAAGAGUAGGAAGAGAGAAAAGGCAGGAGAUGAGAGGAGAGGAAAGGAUCAAACAAAAAUUAUGAGAGAAUGAGGAAUUGAACAUAAGACCUUUCAGAAAUUAACUAAGCACUAACCACUUGACUACUCAAUAGCUUGUUGUAAUUUCUACAGCAUUUUAUUUUAAAAACAUGGUGUGACCUUUUCUAAGGUUUGAAGCAAAAUUGCACCACAUAGAAAACUAAUAUGAGGGAAGGGAUCUGAACACGAAUAAUCAGGGACAUCUCUACCACUAUUUGAUCAGUAGACUUGAUACUUAUUUAUUAACAAAUGUACGAAAGCCAACUAAAAAUUCGAGUGUGACACUCUCAAUUCAAUAACCCAAUUUCUACUAACCCGAAUUUUGGGAUGUGACAAGUCUACCCUCCUUAAAAAGAAUUUCAUCCUCAAAAUUCCUAUUGUCAAGCUAAUUCACUUAUCUACAAAAUUCAUGACUCUUCUUUCUAAACCAACCAACAAGCUUCCUCUGUGCAACUCUGAUUCCAAUGUAGUUCCAAUACUUCACCUUAAAACUCUAAUGGAUUUCCUAUUUACUAUCACGGAUUAUCUCAAGGGACUAUCAAUUGAAAUAUCACUAGCGAUUUCCUCAUUCCCAAAUUCUCAAUUUCACAGAUACACUAUUAACAACAAACAUUUAGGGAAAACAAUUUCUCAAUCAGUGCAAGGCACAAUUAAUGGAUCGUAAAAGUACCUUCAUUGAUGCCAGAUGCGUCUAGAUACUCUCGACUCCUAGUAGCAAAAAACAAGUGUUUGAUUAUGUUUCUAAGACAAAGCUUGCAUUUAAAUAGGAUGACGUCAUGGACAAUCCGUAACACAGUGCUCCACAGACCAACUUUUCAGGCAUGUUCCUGACCUUUCCAACACUCGCUAGAAUGACGUUUAUUACAAUACUUACAAAGAAAAAACUUCUUGUUGAUCCAAUAGAACCUCCAGUAUUAGCUUUUACAACAUUCUGUUGUGGUUUGACAUCUCUGUCCCGCUGCAAAUGUCACAAAUUUGGGCCAGUAUAACUAGACUUCCACUCUUAUUCAGCACCGUAGUCUUUUUCCUUCUUUUCCCUCUUUGAGCCACUAUUUUGGUUCUCUCAACAAGGGUAUCAAAAACUCUUUCUAAAACUCCCAACAUUGCUUGGGAUAUUACAUCAUCCCUAGUCUCGUUAUUUUCACCUUGAAUGGUAGACGCAUUAACAAUGCCAUUUUUCUUAGGUUCAGGCACAAGUUCUUAAAUAAGCUAAUGAAUAAUCUUGAGCUACUCGACAUUGUGUUGCUCGAAAUCAUGUACCAGGAGUUCACAUAACUCGGGUUUUCAUAUCGCUUUCUUGAGUCUAAAUCUUUAUUUUAACCUAUAAUUCAAAAAUAAAAUGUCUAAUUGUUUCCUAAGAGUUUACACUGUAAAGUUUAUAGUUUUAAUCUAUAAUUUUAAACAGUACAAUCUUAAUAUUUAUCUACAGUCUAGUGGUAACAAUACUAACUUAAGAACGGAAUUGGAGUUCUUGGAUUUAACUUUUUGAAAAUCUUGUGAAAAUUUUCUUGUACCAUGGUUCCAAAAGUAUCCCUUUCAAAUAUGCAUGUAGAAUAAACAAAAUUUCCACGGUCUGAUUUUUAAACCGGGCUCUAAUACCAGUAAAUGUAGCACCCCAAACCCUGCUAGACGUUAUGGCUAAAUUUGUAACAACCCAAAUCCGGUCUAAACGUUAUGACCGAAUUUGGCGAUGUCACAUUGUAACACCCUUUACCCGUAUUCGAUGCCAGAAUAGGGUACGGGGCAUUACCAGAACACACACUUAUAAACAUGUUAAAUCGAGUUAUAAAAUUUCAUUCAAAUUUAAACUCUUCAAAUUUUAACAUGCUUUUAUAAAUCUUUACGUUAUAAAUUCAAAAUACUACAUUUGUAACAAAUAGGGCUUCUGAGACCCAAUACAUACUCAUGCAAUUCAAUACUUCAUUUCCAUUUCAUUUAAUUCACAAUUUACAUGUUCACGAUUCAAUUCAAUUUCUCAAUCCAAUAUACAUUUCAAUACCACAAUAAUUCAUUUAAUUCACAUCAUAUCAUUUGCAAUUUUCAUUUAAUUCACAUUCAAUUCAAUUUCAUUAAGUUCAAUACUAAUACAUAUUUAUCGUUUAACUUAACGUCCCCUUUUUACAUCAUUUUACACUUCAAGCAUGAACCUAGUAUUUCAUUUCCUUUCCAGUCUCGUUUCCUAUGUAUAUCACGCAAGAUAUAAACAUUACACUCAACCAUAGUCGCAAGCUAGUCUUUUUGAAGACUAACCACAUGAUAAACCAUUUUAAUAAAGAUUACAAACUUUAAACCUUACCACCCUUUUAUGAUCAAAAGCAUAUUUCUAUCUAGACAUUUACCAUCUCAAUGCAUAAUUUUAUAAAUUUAAUGUGGCGUAAUCCAGCCACAACUUGGCCAAAGCCUAAGCAUACACACCAAACAUGCUAGCCAAAUAAACAUAUAGUAUAAGCAUUAUAAGCAUGGAUAAGCACCACAUUUAUUUAUGUAUCAAACUUAUCAACAUGAGUUAAUUCAUAAACCAUUUCUGACAUUGGUACAUACCAAAUCAUAUGCCAAGUAUACCACAUACACAUACUAUGAAACUUUUUUUUCUCACAUGAACUUUAACUAUAACUAAUAAUGCACAAUUAUAAACAUCAUUUCUUUUCAAUUGUUUAUCGAUUAUAAUCGAGCAUAUAGCCAAUUAUACACAAAUCAUUCAUAUUUUCUUCAAUUUUCCUCCCCCUCCUCUCCAUUCCACAUCGUUAAUGUGUAUAACACACUUAAACAACAUUAACUACAAUUUCACUAUUCACUCACAUGUAUAUUCAAAGCUAUCUAUUCGAGUUAGAGUCACUAAAUUAUAUUUACCUGGAGCUACAGAACUCCAAAUUAAGAUCCGUAAAUUUUCCCUAAAACUAAAUUCACAUAUAUUAAUACCAUUAAAUUUUCAUAAUUUUUGGUGUAGCCAAAUAACACAGUUUAUUAUUUAAAUUUUCCCCUAUUUCAUUGCUCGACAGUUGUAACCUCUCUUCACUAAAAAUUAAUUAUCUCAUGUACAGAAUUUGAAUAUUGUUUCUGUUUGUUUCUCUUGAAAAUAGAUUAACUAAGGAUUAUAAACAUAUAAACUUUAUCCCAUAAUUAUUUUUGUACAAUUUUUUACAAUUUUCCAAAGUCAUAAUAAAGGAUUCCAAACUCAUUCUAACUCUAUCUAACUAAACUUCAAAUAUCUCAAAAUAUAUAACUCUGUUGCUUGUUCUGUUUCUUUUAUGUGAAAAUCGACUCAUUCAACUUCAAUUUCAUAUAAUAUUCAGCCUCUAAUUCAAUCUUCACCAUUUUUGGUGAUUUUUCAAAGUGACACAACUGUUGCUAUCUAAACUAUUUUAUUGCUAAAUGUACUCUUUCAUAAUUUCACUUUUUCACUUUCAAUCACAAUUCAAUUCAAAAUUCACUUUUCCAUUUCUAAGUCGAUAUUCAAUUCAAUUUCACACCUAUAUUCAUUAUUCAAUUACAGUUAGUCAAUUUCCCAAUGAACACUUCAGAAUAAUAACAGAUACUCGGUGGAUUCAGCACAUAACAACCACCUUAUUAAUCAAUGAUGUCUGGUGGAAUCAGCACAUAGCAACCACCUUACUAAUCAAUGAUGUUCGGUUCACAUAGUAGCCUGCACAUAGUACUACACAUGUGACCAUUAUCAUCCGAUACAUGUAGUAGCCUGCACAUAGUACUACACACGUGAUCGAAACUAUCCUGUACGAAUAGUAGCCUACACAUAGUACUACACAUGCGACCUAUCAUUCCGGUACAUGUAGUAGCCUGCACAUAGUACUACACACGUGACCAUCACUUUCACUUUUACAUAGUGGCCUACACACAAUCCGUGCCACACAUGUGAUCAUUUAUGUCACAUCAUUCGUAUCCCUUUUUAUUCCAAAGGUUCAUUCGGGAAUUUUUCACUUUUUCUCACUUUUCUUUUUAUUGAUCAAUUUCAAUUUCUUGUCUUUCUUGAUCUAUAACAAUAUAUUUAACUUAUAUAACCUUCACACUAUUCAUUCCAGUCCAAAAAUCAUAUUUUGGAAAAAUUAUUUUAGUUUCACAAAAUUAUGAUUUUGCCCCUAGGCUCGUAAAAUAUUUUUAUUCAAUUUCCUUGCAUUUUAGGCCUAGCUAAACCAUUUUCAUAACUAUAGCAGUCCACAAUACUCACUUAUUGACACACUUGUGACAUAUUUUAUAACUUUUACAAAUUAAUCCUUUUAGGCAUUUUCAUCGAAAAUUACUUAGUACAAAUCAUUUAUCACACGCCAAACAUUCAUAUUCUUUCAUAAAACAUCAAAAUACAUGCAUAUCAUUCAUGGGUAAAUUUUUAAACACAAACCCUAGUUCAAAACAAUGGUAAAAAUAGGAUCGAAGACUUGUUUGAUCAGUUUUAUAGGGCUUCGGUGUUUUCUAAAAUAAAUCUCCAUUCAGGGUACCAUCAACUUAAGGUUAAGGAUGUUGAUGCUCAUAAGACUGCUUUUAGGACUCGUUAUGGGCACUACGAGUUCCUAGUCAUGCCCUUUGGUUUGACAAAUGCUCCAGCUGCAUUCAUAGACCUUAUGAAUCAGGUUUUUAGCCGUAUUUGGAUCAAUUCAUCAUGGUCUUUAUAGAUGACAUUCUAGUAUACUCUAAUACCGAAGAUGAUCAUUAUGACCAUCUUAGAGUAGUCUUUCAGAUACUUCGUGAGAAGUAGCUCUACGCUAAGUUGAGCAAGUGUGAAUUCUGAUUGAGGGAAGUAACCUUUCUGGGGCAUGUGGUUUCUGCAGAGGGGAUCUGAGUUGAUCUUAGAAAAAUUGAGGCUGUGCUUGAAUGGAAAUAGCCCAAGAAUGUUUCUCAGAUCCGCAGUUUUCUAUGCCUCGCAUGCUAUUAUCGGAGAUUUGUCGAGGGGUUCUCGUUAAACAUAGUUCAUCUGACUAAGCUGUUAUGUAAUAGUCCUUUUGUCUAGACUGAUGAGUAGCAAUCGAGCUUCGAGAAGCUCAAACCUAUUUUAACUCAGGCUCCUUUUCUGAUAUAACCUGAAUUUGGUAAAUAGUUCGUGGUAUACAGUGAUGCAUCUCAUGCCAGUUUGGGUUGUGUAUUGAUACAAGAGGUAAGGUAGUGGCUUAUGCAUCCUGACAGCUUAAGUCACACAAAGGAAACUAUCCGACGCACGAUCUCGAGUUAGCUACAGUCGUUUUCGCUUUAAAGAUUUGGAGGCACUAUCUGUAUAGUGAGAGGUGUAUCAUCUACACUGAUAACAAAAGCCACAAGUAUCUCCUUACCCAAAAAGAGUUAAACCUUAGGCAGCGUAGAUGGAUUAAACUACUUAAAGAUUGCAAUUGCACAAUUGAUUAUCAUCAUGGUAAGGCCAAUACGGUGGCUGAUGCUCUUAGUCGUAGAGCAAUGUCUGAUUUGAGGGCAAUGUUUGCUCGUCUAAGUCUGUUUGAUGAUGGGGGUCUAUUAGCCGAGUUGCAAGUUAAGCUAACUUGGAUUGAUCAAAUUUAGGAUAAAUAGUUAGGGAUGAUUCUUUAGUUCUGCGAUUCCGUUAGGUAGAGGAUGAUUGUACGUCUGACUUUGGGCUAAAUAGUGAUGGGGUUCUGUGUUUCCGAGGACUAGUUUGUGUACCUAGUGAUUCUGAUUUUAGGUAGUCUAUUUUGAGGGAAGCGCAUAGUAGCCCUUAUGAUAUGCAUUCUGGUGGAAAUAAGAUGUAUAGGGAUCUUAGUGAAAUGUAUUGGUGGCCUGGUUUGAAAAGGGAGGUGAUAAACUUUGUUUUUCAUUGUCUGACAUGCCAGCAAGUUAAGGAUGAGCACUAGUUGCCUUCGGGUUUGCUUCAACUUGUUAAGAUUCCCAUGUGAAAAUGGGAGCGUAUAACUAUGGACGUCGUUAGUGGGUUGCCCCUAACACCUACUAAGAAGGAUUCUGUGUGGGUCAUCGUAGAUGGGUUGACCAAGUCUGCUCACUUCAUUCUUGUUUAGACAGAUUACUCCCUUUAAAAGUUGGCCAAGUUUUAUGUUUCGGAAAUCGUGAGACUUCAUGGGGUACCGGUCUCAAUUAUUUUUUAUAGAGAUCCUCACUUCACUUCUCAAUUUUGGAGGAAACUUCAUGAGGCUCUGGGUUUGAGGUUGGACUUCAGCACUGUGUUCCAUCCUCAGACAGAUGGUUAAUCUGAUAGGGUGAUUUGGAUACUAGAGGAUAUGCUUCGGAGUUGUGUGAUCAAUUUUUGAGGUAGUUAGGAGGAUUUUCUACUGUUAGCCAAGUUCGCCUGCAAUAACAGCUUUCAGUCUAGUAUUCAUAUGGCACCUUACGAGGCUUUAUUUGGUCGUAAGUGUCGUACUCCUCUUUGUUGGACUGAGUUGGGUGAGUGACGGGUUUUUGGUCCUAAAUUGGUUUCUGAGACUGAAGAUAAAGUUAGACUGAUUUGGGACCAUCUUAAGGCAACUUCUGAUAGACAGAAGUCCUGUGCGGAUCUGAAAAGAAGGGACAUUUAGUGUUUCUUAAGGUGUCUCCAUGGAAGAAAGUUUUAUGGUUUGGAUGUAAAGGCAAGUUGAGCCCUAGAUUCAUUAGGCCAUAUCAAAUUCUGAAGUAUGUGGGACUAGCCGCUUACCAGUUGGAGCUACUUCCGAAGUUAGACCGUAUUCAUGUUGUGUUUCAUGUCUUUAUGUUGAGACGGUAUCGGUCGGACCCAUCUCAUAUUGUACUUGUUGAGGAGAUUGAGGUUAGACUGGAUUUGACAUUCGAGGAGGAGCCAAUACAGAUUCUGAGCAUGAUGUUAAGGUUUUGAUAAGGAAGUCAAUUCCUUUAGUAAGGGUUCUGUGGAGAAAUCAUGGCACUGAGGGAGCCACGUGGGAACCUAAAGACUCGAUUCUUCAACAGUAUCCACAUCUGUUUGGAUCAGGUAAAUUUCGAGGUCAAAAUUUCUUUUAGGGGGUAAAGUUGUAACGCCCUGAUUUUAAAAAAAUAUAUUUUUACCAAUUCUGUCAUAAAUGAAAACUUAGUAUAGUGGUUGAGUGGUGACAGUGUGGGUGGAGGUUUUUAGUUCGAAUCAUGGUAAGGGUGUGGAGUGAUUUUAUUUUGUUUGUUGCCUAUCAAGAGGUAGUUGGGUUAGAAUAAAUGUGUGUUAAACUAAUCUAUUAGUUGGGGAUUAGUGGGGGGUAGGUUUUAUUUUGAUUUUAUUUUGUUUAAAUUUUUAUUUUUAUUUAUUUUUAUUUUUUUCCCAAAAUCCCAAUUUUUUAUGUUUUCCAUUUUGUUUCAUGUUCUGUUCCUUCUUCAUUUUCUUUUAGUUUUCCUUUUUGGUGCCUUGCUAUUCCUUUAACUUCUUAUGUUUCUUGCCUCGUUUUGCUCUCAAACCUCUUCUUCUCUUUUGGCGAUCUGAUUAUCAAGGUAAUCGAAAGUAAGAGUUCUUUAGAUUCUUGUAAUGGUGGAUUAGUUCUUUGGGUGUGAUUCUUGUGAACUCUCGUGAUAGGUGUUAAUCAAAGGGGUCAAAACUCAUCUUCUACUAUGUAGUUGUGUUUGGACUAACAUAUCAAUCUUGGUAAGUGAUUAAACAUUGGAAGGGUUAAUUUCGGUUUGUUAAGGUUAAUAUUUUCGAGUAUGUCAUUUGGGGUUUUGGUAAAUUGGUGAUUCGAUACUAAGAAUUGAUUGCUUGAAUGGUAUUUCUAGAUUUUGGAGGUUUCGUGGUAGUAUUCGCGUAAAAAAUGGAUCAAGUGUAUAACGAGAAACUCGAAAAAUAGUGAACGGCAAAAGCCAAAAUUAGGGCCUGUCGACACCACAAGGCCGUUUGCCUGGCCAUGUGGUAGGCCGUGUGCGACACACGGCCAUGUGACAGGUCGUGUGCGUGGUUGUACAUGACACACGGUCUAGGCCAUUUUGGGCCAUGUGGGCCACACGGGCAUGUGUGGGCCGUGUGUCAAGCCGUGUGGGCCCAAGUUUCAGAAUUUUCCCCUAGCAUUGUACAUGUUAUCCUGAUCCUCUGUGGGCCUUCGGUAAGGUCGGUAUGUGUUAUAUAAGCCUUAAAGCAUGAAAUAUGUUAUUCUGUUAGUAUGAAUUCGACGUAAAUAACGCCUAAAUGUAUAUAAUGUGAUGCGAUAUUUUUGAUCUGUUAUGUACAAGCAUGUUUAAUAUUUGUUAUACGAGCAUGCAUGAUAUAUAUAUUUUGGUAUUUGUUAUUCUGUUAUAUCUGGUAUUCUGUUUGUAUCUGGCUAUGGGGCAGGUUAUGUAUUAUGUGGAGGAAGUGUUCUUUGUGAGGCAUUAACUCGCCAUUAUACUGCCAGCACUGCUGCGAUUAUUCUGAAAAGUGUCGUGAGGACACUAAGUAAUGUGUAAGGCUGAGUAGGUGUUUUAUACCCCACAUGGUGUGUUGGGAUGGUCAGAGCUAGUGUGUAGAGGAUGGGGGUAGGACUAUAUGUAUCUGUAUCUGUAUUACUCUGAUAUGAUUCUAAUUCUGUAUAAAAUGCUUGUCUGUAUCUGUACUGCCAUAUAAAUGAAUUUGAGAUCAUGUUUCCCUAUGAGUUACACACUAAGUUACAAAAACUCACUCUCUGUUUGUUUGAUAAUUUCAAGUAACCCUCAGACUUAGGCGGGUCGGUGCGGUAGGAGCUUGGUUAUGUCUACAUUUCUGUUAACACUAUUUUCUUAAAAUUUAACUUGUUUAAAAUUUUGAUUUGAGAGUUUUCUAAUUUUUGGACUCUCUGUACAUUUAGGAUUGUUUUUGUUUUGGAUUUAUAUCUUGAAUUCUGGCAUGACAAACAACAAAACGUUUUUACGUAAACAACUAUUUUCCUACAAGAUACACGAUUUAAUUAGAAAAUAAUAACAAAAAAUGAUUUUUACUAAAUAAGUACGACAACACAUUUUCCAAAUGAAACAGUCAUUUUGAGUUACAAAGAUACACGAUGUUUUCUUAAAAAGCAUAAGUCGGAUUUAUAAAUGUUUUACAUAACAUUUCCAAAUGCGGCCAUAACGUCUAGGCCGAUCAUUAAGCAUGUUAAACAUGAAAUCAUAUACAAAUCAAAUAUCGAUAGCCAUGGUAAUCCAUGCUUUAUAAAAUGAACAUAUUGAAUUUUCAAUGUGAAAAAAUCAUAAUGAACAUAUAGGCCAUGAUGUCACAUACCAUGAGAUUAGAUCAAAAUCACUUAUUAGCGCUAUUUAAAAUCACAUAUUAGCACUAAAUAGCAUAAUACAUCAAAAAGAUUUAAGUUAAAACACAUACCUUAAAUCCAUUUCACAUAUAUACAAUUAACUAGUAAACAAUGAUAUAAUCAUAGAGAAACAUACAUCUAUAUAACAUUACACUAUGAUCUUACCUAAUAUUUGCUAACGGUUGAUUCAUAAGGACUAAUCCGUAAUUUUUUUUAUUUUUUUCUCAAUUAUCCUUCAUGCGAAUCAAAUCUUGAUCUAUAAUGAUUAAAUUUAAUUUAUCAAAUUAAAAUACAUAUUCGAACUCAUUUUUAUGCAAAAAAACCCUUAAGUUUUCAUUAUUUACACAUUUUCCCUAAACUAUUAUAUAUAUCUCUCAAUUUAGUCCCUAAACCCGAAACUCCAAAGUUGACAAAAUUUUUCAAAUACUUAUGCUAGCCUAAUUAAUUCCCAUAUUAGUACAGUCCACAUAUAUUCAAAAUUCACAAGAAUUUCAUGUCAAUUGUAAUAUUUUAUCAAAUUAGUCCUUUAACUAAAAACUAACUAAAAUCACUUUACAAAAUAGUCCUAAACAACAACCAAGACUACAAAUUCAUCAUUUAAUAUCAAGAAUAACUAAGAUUCAUUAAUGGAAAAAUCCAAAAUCUUUAACAGUUUCGAAAACAGAGAUAUGAGUUAGCUGAACCUAAUUGCAACGAUUUUAAAAACAGAAAAAUUAUUAGAAACGAGAGAAAAAUAGCUUACUAUGCAAGAAAAUAUCCAUGUCCGAACCUUGAAAGCCUUUAAAAAAGGCUUCUCAUGCUAUAAUUUCUUAUUUCUGUGGAAGAUGAUGAAUAAAAAAAUAACAUUUGGUUUUUAUUUUACUUAAUUUAACAUAUUAAAUUAAUUAAAAAUAUUUUAACGUAAAGACAAUUCAUUUAACACAAAGCACUAUCGUCCACUACAUUACACUAGGUCUAAUCGCCAUUUAGAUCCCUAAACCAACAUUAAUUAUGCAAUUUAGUUAAUAAAAAUCAAUAGCGAUUAACUUUUACUUUUUUUAUAAUUUAGUUCUUUUUCUUUAAUUAACUAACAAAUAACUAAAAUUUUCGGACCGAACUUCACUUCACCCAUAUAAUAACAUAUGUACGAGCUUGAUUUACAAAAAUGAGGUCCCGAAACUUAAUUUUCCAAAAUUACUUGACUUUAGGGACAAAUUACAUUAACUUAAUUAUUCAUUCAAAUAAUAUAAAUUAUCAAAUCAAAAUUUAUUAUAAUAUUAUAUUUGACUUGUAAAUAUUAAAUAAUAAUAUCUAUGAAUUCACUCAUCGAAUUUGUGAUCCCAAAAUCACUAUUUUCAACACCACUAAAAAAUAGCUAUUACAAUCCCAAUCUUAGAUAGAAAGAGAACCAAUGGGACCUCCCAUCAAGAGAUAGGCAACUUCAACCAUCCCGGACCAACCCUUUCAUACCAACCUCCGCAACCAUUUAGGCCCCAAGAAGUUAAAAAGGAAGCCCGACUUUACCAAUUACCUUUUGAUGGCCAUUAGAGUUUGUAAACUUGAAACUUGAGGAAGGGAUGCACCCAAUUCAUACAAAUAUAAGUCAAAUGUAAGGUCAUUCAGACCAAAUCCUCCAAGCCUUGCAAAACAAUGUUACCUCUAACAUUCUAGAAGAAAAUUUAAAUGAUAACAUCUAUUAAAUUUUUACUAUUAUUAUUUCCGUGUUGAUUUGAACAAUUUUAUUAAUUUCUUACUUUAAAAAUUAUCAGACAUUUGCACAAAAUUCUCAAAUGUAAUUCCUUUUUAUGAUUUUUUUAUUAAAUUAACUUUUUUAAUUUUUUUAUAAAAAUUCAUAUUUUAGUCAUAUUUUUUUUCAAAUAAAUUUAUAAACUCAUAUUUUGUUAUUUUCAUUUAUCAUUUUUAAUAUAUGUUUAAGCAACGACAUUAUAUAUAUUUAUAAAAAAAAAUAAUGACUUAAUAAAGUAUAAUUGUCAAAUAAAAACUAUAAUAAGAAAUUGUAUAAAAAAGUACAUAAUACUUUAAAGGUACAAUGACAAGGUAUUUACACUCCUAAGGAAAGAACAAGGUUCGAACUUUGAAGACAAUAUUGUUUGGGGUAACUUCGAACCCCGAACAUGAUUAGCAAAGCGGACAUCAAAAGUACCAAAAAUAAUUUAAAGUUAUUUAUAAUACUAAUUACAUAAUUUAUAUAAAUUUAUAUAAUAACUUUAAUUGAAAAGUAAAACCAAAUUUGUGCAUCGUACAAGAUAAAAAACUAGUUAUCAAUAUAUACAAACAAUAUGAGUGAAACAAUUUGUAUAAUAACAUUGAAGUGUAUAAAAAUUAUUAAAAUAAAACUUUUGUUUAAGUGGUAAAAAAAAUAUAGACGCUGGUGGCAUGGGUUCAAGCCUCAAUCAAUGUUUUCUAAAUUGGAUUAGUGAUCGAACCAAUAAAAUCACUAGAUCAUCCGCUACACCCUCAAUUCGAUUCGAUCAUCCAGAUCUAGAUCUUGGUAUUACCACACAAAUACAGACACAAACUUAAUUUACUUAUACAAUUUAUAGAUAAAGAAAACUUACUUAACUACAAAAUCUCAAACUAAAAUACAUAGGCUCACUUACUUAUACAUGGCCAUGGACUUUUCCUUUCAGAAUUCGUGUUUAAAGUCCUGACGGACCCCUUUAAACAAUACCGUGGAGACAGACACAGGCUCACUUCACAGACCAUUCGUUCACAAACACAAACCACGCUCAUCUUUUAAUAAAUCAUACCCUAUAACAUACAUCCGACACACACAUAUGUGACCGAACCUAAACUUCUCACAUUCCAUACCAUAACCCGCAUUCUAUUUUCAACAAUCACUCAUACAAUUACAUAACCAUCAUACUAUACUUUUCUAGCUUUGGUGUCCUUAUUUUCUACAGAAAUGUUUCAUAUGAAUAGUAUUCAUACAAGAGUUAACUUAGAGACUCACCUAGUUCUCACCUACUGCAGCCCAAAACUCCAUAUCCAGACUUUUCAUCACACAAAUCAACAUCAACUACUUCUACAGAACAUGAAAAUCCAUCAAGAUCUAUUCAUAUAUCCCUUUUUCCAUCAUUUCUAUCAUUGACAAUCCCCAAGAAAUUCACUUUUUCUUUAUCUUUCUGAUUUACCAAAUAUAAUAGUUUUACUCUUUCACAACAUAACAUGCAUAGCAAUAAAUCUUACCUUGACAUGGAGUAAUCACUAGUAAAGAUCCAGAUCUAUAACUCCAGCUUCAAGGAGAAAGAAAUAUUUGAAGUUUUUUAAGUUUCGGGUAACAAUACUUCUUGAAAAAGGAAGAAGUAAAACUUCCUCUUUUUCUAACCCAAAUAUCUAAAUAUCUAACCUGAACCCUUAUUGGAACCUGACACGUGUUACAAACUGUCACCACUGCCUUUAUAAAUGAUUUACAGCUAUGAAAACCCAAUAUUUUUAUAUUUUUCUUUGGUUCCUCUAUUCAACUAGUUCCUAACCAAUUCAUUUAGAUCAUGACUAAAUGAAUUGGGUGUACAUUACCUUCGGGGAUUACCCAAGUUACCCAAAAUCCUCAAUACUUUUACCAAUCUCCUCUUAAUGACUCAACACAUGCUGUAAACAAUUUUUUCAAUAAUCUAACAUGUACUAUGCACCUGAUCUAUACGCCAAAAGCAUCAAUUAGGCAGAUAACACGAUGCCACUUAGAUUACUUUCGGUUUGCUCACCAAAUUCAGGACUCACCAAAAUAGGAUGUUACAUCACCGGUCCAAUUAAAAAUCCAAAAAGAGUAAUAAAAUUUUAAAAAAUCUCAAUUCAAACGUCUGUUCAACCGAUAUUUUAGCUUAUUCAACUUUCUGUUCAACUAGUUUUUUAAUCGGUUUGCCGGUUCUCAAUCUAAUAGGUUGAAAGUCACUUUCCAAAUCAAUACCUCGGCUAAUUCACGAUCCGACCGACCGGUUCGAUUCAAAUAACACUGGCUUUAUAUUUGUAAUUUUUUUAUUGACUUUUUUAAAAAAAAAAAAAGAAAGACAAAAGUGUCAUCAUAAUAAUAUAACUUAAUUAAAAUAUACAAGGUUAAUUUGAUAUAACUGAUGAUUGUUAAAUUUUAAGGUAAACUACGUAGUUGGCCAUAUAACUUUAAUAAGUUUUCAUUUUAGGCAUUAGAAAUAAAAAAUUUGCAAUUAGGCACUGCCAUUAACAAUUGUUUUCAUUUUAGUCACUCAACUUUAAUAAGAUUUAAUUUUUGGUCAACCGUUCAUUCAAUUUAUUGUACACUCUUUUUAGUCAUAAAAUUUUAAUAAGUUUUCAUUUUGGCCACUCACUUUUUAAAAAUUAAUUUUAAUAUUUUCAAAAUAAACCUAGGUUUUGUGCGACAUUGAGUUAUUCAAUCCUGGAGAUGAAACCAUGUUUAACUCAAUUCUCCAUACAAACGAAGUAUUUUCCUGAAGAAACCUAGGUUGGAAAAUUAAAAAAAAAAAGGGUUUUCCCUGUGAAAACCCAAUGUAAAACCUUAGGUUUUUUUUUUCUCUUUGGGAAAAAAGACAAAUUAUUUCUAAAAAAUAAAUUAAAUUAAAAAAUUAAUUAAAUUUUCUAUUGGAAAAAAUUAAAAUUAAAUCUAAAAAAUUAAAAAUUAAAGGGAAUUAAAAAGAUUUUUCCCUAUAAGUCCUAUAAACCCUAGGUUUUUCCCUUUUACAGAGAAGAAACAAAAAAUAACUCUAAAAGGUUAAAUUAAAUUAAAUUAAAUUUUAAAAGAAAAAAUGAGUAACCAAAAUGAAAAGUUAUUAAAGUUGAAUGACUAAAAUGAGUGUAAAAUAAUAUUGAAUUAAUAGCGAGUGAUCAAAAUAAAAGUCUAUUAAAUAUGGGAGACUAAAAUGAAAAACGGUUGUUAACAAUAGUACUCAAUUUGUAAUUUUUUUUAUUCUCAAUACCAAAAAUAAACACUUAUGAAAGUUAGAUAAUCAAACUGUGUAGUUUAUAACACCUCGGAUUUCUUUUGCUUUGGGUUUCAAUUAAUCAAAUAUUUAUUUCUUGAUAAAAUCAAAAAGCAAACGGUGAAUUUUUAUUUCACCGAAUCUUAUAAUUAAAAGAGUAAAGAAAAAUAAAAUACUUAGCAGCCUAUUUCAUGAAUUAUACGAGCUCACUGCUAAGACAUGCAUGUCGCUAUCAUACAAUACUCUCCAAACGAGGCUUGUCAAAACCCACACAAACCUUAUCCGAGGAACAUAGCAUGCGUGACAAUAAAAGGUUUUAGGCAAAGAAGAUUUUACCCUUAUCAGCUGAGAAGGCUCAGUAGCUAAAUAUAUUUAAGAACAUC